AGUAGAAUUGCUGGGUCAUAUGGUAACUCUAUGUUUAACUUUUUGAGGAACUGCCAAGCUGUUUUCCAAAUUGGCUGUACUAUUUUACAUUACCACCAGCGAU
rnacentral:pre_miRNA from 1 species